rnacentral:misc_RNA from 1 species
CAGAUUCGUGGGAUGUGCUGGCGUCCGCGCACGUGCACUCUCUACACCCUCACACACACACCUGUGAACCUCGGACGCACCUCUCGCCUCCUCCCUCGGGGGGUCCCGUGAGACGGACGCGUACCCACUAUACAAACUCUUGAUGAUCGUGUCUUGGAGAGCUUUGACGAAUGCAAUA